UACGGAGGGUGCAAGCGUUGCUCGGAAUCACUGGGCGUAAAGCGGGCGCAGGCGGUCCAGCAAGUCGGGUGUGAAAGCCCGGGGCUCAGCCCCGGAAAUGCAUUCGAAACUGCCGGACUAGAGUACGGGAGAGGGGAGCGGAAUUCCUGGUGUAGAGGUGAAAUUCGUAGAUAUCAGGAGGAACACCGGUGGCGAAAGCGGCUCCCUGGUCCGAUACUGACGCUGAGGCGCGAAAGCGUGGGGAGCAAACAGG
rnacentral:rRNA from 1 species